CGGCGUACGAGACGGCGUUGGCCGAAGAGAGGAGAUUACGACAAGAGAACGAGCAGAAGCAGGCGGCCGAGAUGGCCCAGAUGUACAACUACAUUCAAAGUCUUUCUGUCCAAAUGGGUAAUCCCAUCCCAGCCUUCCAUGUGGUUCCUGCUCCUACUACUCCUCCGAAUCUAUCGGCGGCAUCGAAUACGCCAGACUUGUCGCCGGGCAUCUCACCGACGCUCCCACAGCAGUUGUUCCCACCUCAGUUCGGCGGCCCACCACCGUUCGACGGCCCACCGCAGCCAUAAACUAGUUUAUUUCAAUAUUUAUGGACUUGUGAACUUCUGGAUAUGUAUUUGUGAACUUCUGGA